rnacentral:lncRNA from 1 species
UCCACUUCUUUUCCAUGAAGGUCCCCAAUUGGGCAGUGCCCUGAAAUCACUUCUAAUGCUGAUGCUAGGCAACACCUCAGACCUACUGCUCAGACCCUCCAGGGGCAGGGCCCAGGAUUGAAGAGGGAAGCCCUGCUCCACACGUGUUCAUCAGGAAGGACCCACAGACUGCUGCUCCUGGAGGCCUCUCGGUUUAUGGAUGUGUGUUUGUUCCAUAAACCCUCAGAGGGUCACCUGGAGACCCGCUAAAAUGCAGGUUCUUGGGCCACAUCCUAGACCUUCUGACCGACCCAGGGAGUGGGGCCCAGGAAGCUGCAUUUGACAGAUAUCCCCGUGUGAUCAUCAUGCACACAGGAGUGAGAGAACCAGUGUUCUCCCCGGGCAGAAGGGAAGCUCGUGUGCAGGACACCUCACACCUCCUUUCCCAUUCCCCUGCCAGGCUCUCCCUGCUGACAUUGUUUUUGCGGGAGAGCUGUGAAUUCUGAAGAUUAGGUUGCUUCUCACCCCAAGCUCCAGAAGUCCAGGCUGAGCCAAACCAAGCUUCAAGUUGUGCCUGGACUUGGAGAACCAGGAGGUGAGGGGACUGACUACUUGAAGAUCACAUGGAGGAGGAGUCUGAUCCAGGCCCAGUCUUGCUCUGUUGCCCAGGCUGGAAUACAGUGGCAUGAUCUCAGCUCACUGCAACCUCUGCCCCCCAGGUUCAAGCAAUUCUCAUGCAUCAGCCUCCCAAGAAGCUGGGACUGACUACAGGCAUGCACCACCACACCCAGCUAAUUUUUGUGUCUAACAGGAUUUCGCCAUGUUGACCAGGAUGGUUUCAAACUCCUGACCUCAAGUGAUCCACCUGCCUCGGCCUCCCAGAGUGCUGGGAUUAUAGGCGUGAGCCACCGCACCUGACCUAAAUCAUUUUUUAUUUUUUUAAGAAUAUCGUGACUUGACCAAAGGCUUGAGUCUUCUUUGCUCCCUCCUGCUAGGUGUGGAAGCAGAUAUCCCCUCCAUGGCUGGGCACCAAGGAAAGGCCAUGCAAGGACACAGGGAGAAGGGCAGCUGUCUGUAAGCCAGAAAGAGCCUUCACUAGAAACCAAAUCAGCCAGAACCUUCAUCUUGGACUUUCCAGCCUUCAGAGAUGUGAAAAAAUAAAUUUC